UACGUAGGGUGCGAGCGUUGUCCGGAAUUACUGGGCGUAAAGAGCUCGUAGGCGGUUUGUCGCGUCGUCCGUGAAAACUUGGGGCUCAGCCCCAAGCUUGCGGGCGAUACGGGCAGACUUGAGUACUGCAGGGGAGACUGGAAUUCCUGGUGUAGCGGUGAAAUGCGCAGAUAUCAGGAGGAACACCGGUGGCGAAGGCGGGUCUCUGGGCAGUAACUGACGCUGAGGAGCGAAAGCGUGGGUAGCAAACAGG
rnacentral:rRNA from 1 species